rnacentral:rRNA from 1 species
GACAGAGGGGGCAAGCGUUGCUCGGAAUUACUGGGCGUAAAGGGCGCGUAGGCGGCCUGCUAAGUCGAACGUGAAAUCCCCGGGCUCAACCCGGGAACUGCGUCCGAUACUGACAGGCUCGAAUCCGGGAGAGGGAUGUGGAAUUCCAGGUGUAGCGGUGAAAUGCGUAGAUAUCUGGAGGAACACCGGUGGCGAAGGCGGCAUCCUGGACCGGUAUUGACGCUGAGGCGCGAAAGCCAGGGGAGCAAACGGG